UCUGUCUCCAGACUUGGGGCUUCAGCACCACACAGGAGACGCGACUCUUCUGAUGCUGCCGGCCCAAGUGUCAGCAGCACCCUGAGGGUCCCCGCAGCUUUGUGUUCCCAGAACUGAUGAUUUGUUUGACAACGGGCUUUCCUUCCAGACGGUUCUUCCAGCCUGGCACAGCAUGACUAGGAUCAAGAAUGGAGCAAGUGAGAGAAACAGUUAAGGAGUUGAAGGUUGGACAUAGAAUAAGAGUCCAAGGAUAGCUAGCGAAAGCAGCAGGAAGUGGUUACUGUCAGCACCAGAGCAAAAGAAGAGACAGGAAGAAACUAGAACCCAAAGAGGAUCGAAGGGGCAAUGAUACGGGGAAGGCCUCCUCAUCUUCGAGCAUGACACAAGCAGUUGUCCACGUUCUGAGUGAGCAGGAGAGUAGUGACCACACCAUGAUGCUCUCCUGCCGGGAUGUGUUGCCUGCCCAGGCCUAAAAGCAGUGUGUCCACCUGAUCUUGGACUGCAGCCUCCAAAACCAUGGGUGAAAAUAAACCUUUCCUCUUUAUAAGCUGAUUAUCUUGGGUAUUUUUUAUAAUGACACAAAGCUGACUAAUAUAGACAAUAUUAACCAA